UACGUGAGGGGCGAACGUUGUUCGGUUUCACUGGGCUUAAAGGGUGCGUAGGUGGUUUCGUAAGUAAGGUGUGAAAGCCCUCGGCUUACCCGGGGAAUUGCGCCUUAUACUGCGAGACUUGAGGAUUUCAGGGGAAUGGGGAACUCCAGGUGUAGCGGUGAAAUGCGCAGAUAUCUGGGGGAAGGCCGGCGGCGAAGGCGCCAUUCUGGGAAAUUCCUGACACUGAGGCACGAAAGCGUGGGGAGCAAACAGG
rnacentral:rRNA from 1 species